UGAACGCUGGCGGCGUGCCUAAUACAUGCAAGUCGAACGAAGAUGUUCUUGAGUUUACUCGAGAGCUCUUAGUGGCGGACGGGUGAGUAACGCGUUGGUGACCUGCCCUAAAGAAGGGAACAACCUCGGGAAACUGAGGCUAAUACCCUAUGUGCUUCUAGAGAUUAGAUGCUUUAGUAGUAAAGGUUCUGUGGACGAAAGGCCACAGUGCCACUUUAGGAGGGGCCUGCGUCCCAUCAGCUAGUUGGUAGGGUAAUGGCCUACCAAGGCAAUGACGGGUAGGGGACCUGAGAGGGUGACCCCCCACACUAGCACUGAAACACGGGCUAGACACCUACGGGUGGCAGCAGUAGGGAAUCUUGCACAAUCGACGAAAGUCUGAUGCAGCAACGCCGCGUGUGCGAUGAAGGCCUUCGGGUUGUAAAGCACUUUUCUGAGGGAAGAGAAAGGACGGUACCUCAGGAAUAAGUCUCGGCUAACUAC
rnacentral:rRNA from 1 species